UUGACCUCGGAUCAGGUAGGGAUACCCGCUGAACUUAAGCAUAUCAAUAAGCGGAGGAAAAGAAACCAACAGGGAUUGCCCUAGUAACGGCGAGUGAAGCGGCAACAGCUCAAAUUUGAAAUCUGGCGUCUUUGGCGUCCGAGUUGUAAUUUGCAGAGGGCGCUUUGGCAUUGGCAGCGGUCCAAGUUCCUUGGAACAGGACGUCACAGAGGGUGAGAAUCCCGUACGUGGUCGCUAGCCUUUACCGUGUAAAGCCCCUUCGACGAGUCGAGUUGUUUGGGAAUGCAGCUCUAAAUGGGAGGUAAAUUUCUUCUAAAGCUAAAUACUGGCCAGAGACCGAUAGCGCACAAGUAGAGUGAUCGAAAGAUGAAAAGCACUUUGGAAAGAGAGUUAAAAAGCACGUGAAAUUGUUGAAAGGGAAGCGCUUGCAGCCAGACUUGCCUGUAGUUGCUCAUCCGGGUUUCUACCCGGUGCACUCUUCUAUGGGCAGGCCAGCAUCAGUUUGGGCGGUUGGAUAAAGGUCUCUGUCAUGUACCUCUCUUCGGGGAGAACUUAUAGGGGAGACGACAUGCAACCAGCCUGGACUGAGGUUCC
rnacentral:rRNA from 1 species